rfam:Triticum aestivum genome assembly, contig: Triticum_aestivum_CS42_TGACv1_scaffold_289987_4AL
UACUGGUAAGGGUUUUCCUAGUAGUGAGACGGGGGUCAAGUGUUCCUCGGAAUGACUGGGCGUAAAGGGCACGUAGGCGGUGAAUCGAGUUGAAAGUGAAAGUCGCCAAAAAGUGGCGGAAUGCUCUCGAAACCAAUUCGCUUGAGUGAGACAGAGGAGAGUGGAAUUUCGUUUAUAGGGGUGAAAUUCGUAGAUCUACAAAGGAACACCAAAAGAGAAGGCAGCUCUCUGGGUCCCUACCGACGUUGCGGUGCGAAAGCAUGGGGAGCGAACAUGAUUAGAUACCCUAGUAGUCCAUGUCAUAAACGACGAGUGUUCGCCCUUGGUCUACGCGGAUCAGGGGCCCAGCUAACGAGUGAAACACUCCGCCUGGGGAGUACGGUCACAAGACCGAAACUCAAAGGAAUUGACGGGGGCCUACCUCGGUAUAAAAUUCUUUAUCAGCAGGUUCGCUUUUUCA